rnacentral:rRNA from 1 species
CGGAGGGUGCAAGCGUUAUCCGGAUUCACUGGGUUUAAAGGGUGCGUAGGUGGGAUGGUAAGUCAGUGGUGAAAUCUCCGAGCUUAACUCGGAAACUGCCUUUGAUACUAUCAUUCUUGAAUAUUGUGGAGGUUAGCGGAAUAUGUCAUGUAGCGGUGAAAUGCUUAGAUAUGACAUAGAACACCAAUUGCGAAGGCAGCUGGCUACGCAUAUAUUGACACUGAGGCACGAAAGCGUGGGAUCAAACAGGAUU